rnacentral:lncRNA from 1 species
ACAAUCUUGGGACUUACUCCUUGAACUACACGACAUGUCCAAUGGUCUAUGGUGUAUCGUAGGAGACUUUAAGGGUCCGUGAUUGCUUUAGAUUGGUAAGGUAGAUGAAGACAUUGACCAAGAUUAUGAUGUUAAUUGUGCAGGUAAGGAGACAACACGUCUCCUGCAAAUCAAAAUUCGAGUGGACAAAAUUAGUCUUGGAAACAUGCAUUUAUCAAGCGAUAUCGCCAAAAAAAUCAAUAAACUGGACAAUGCAAAUUAUGUUUUAAUUU